UACAGAGGUCUCAAGCGUUGUUCGGAUUCAUUGGGCGUAAAGGGUGCGUAGGCGGCGCGGUAAGUCGGGUGUGAAAUCUCGGAGCUUAACUCCGAAACUGCAUUCGAUACUGCCGUGCUUGAGGACUGGAGAGGAGACUGGAAUUUACGGUGUAGCGGUGAAAUGCGUAGAUAUCGAGAGGAACACCUGCGGCGAAGGCGGCUACCUGGACAAUUGCUGACGCUCAGGCACGAAAGCGUGGGGAGCAAAAGGG
rnacentral:rRNA from 1 species